CCUACGGGCGGCAGCAGUCGAGAAUCAUGCACAAUGGGGGAAACCCUGAUGGGGCGACGCCGCGUGGGGGAAUGAAGGUCUUCGGAUUGUAAACCCCUGUCAUGGGGGAGCAAAUUAAAAAGAUAGUACCACAAGAGGAAGAGACGGCUAACUCUGUGCCAGCAGCCGCGGUAAUACAGAGGGUUCAAGCGUUGUUCGGAAUCACUGGGAGUAAAGGGUGCGUAGGCUGUUUCGUAAGUCGUGUGUGAAAGGCGCGGGCUCAACCCGCGGACGGCACAUGAUACUGCGAGACUAGAGUAAUGGAGGGGGAACCGGAAUUCUCGGUGUAGCAGUGAAAUGCGUAGAUAUCGGGAGGAACACUCGUGGCGAAGGCGGGUUCCUGGACAUUAACUGACGCUGAGGCACGAAGGCCCGGGGAGCGAAAAGGAUUAGAUACCCGAGUAGUC
rnacentral:rRNA from 1 species